rnacentral:rRNA from 1 species
CACGUAGGGGGCGAGCGUUGUCCGGAUUCAUUGGGCGUAAAGGGCGCGCAGGCGGCCCGGAAAGUCGGAUGUGAAAACUCGAGGCUCAACCUCGAGCGUGCACCCGAUACUGCCGGGCUUGAGGCAGGUAGGGGAGAUCGGAAUUCCUGGUGUAGCGGUGAAAUGCGCAGAUAUCAUGAGGAAUACCAGAGGCGAAGGCGGCUACCUGGACAAUUGCUGACGCUCAGGCACGAAAGCGUGGGGAGCAAAAGGG